rnacentral:lncRNA from 1 species
UGAAGAGAUACCUCAGGCUCAGAUGAUCAGCGAAUAUAUCGCAGUGUGUCCCAUAACCUGAAUCAAUAACACUUACCUCGGAGAACACAAUCUCCCAUCGGUUCAACACAAACUGCUGUAAUUAACCCCUAUCGUAGAAAAACUAUCUGCGGCAUUCGACAACCCUAAGUUCAAGACCUCACCUUUUACCUGACCAAAA